rnacentral:tRNA from 1 species
GCAUUUGGUUUAGUGGUGUGAUUCUUGCUUUGGAUGUAGGAAGUCUCGGGUUCAAGUCCCAAAAUGACA